AGUCGAACGGAGAUUACAGGCGGAAGUUUUCGGAUGGAAGCUUGUAAACUUAGUGGCGGACGGGUGAGUAACACGUGAGCAACCUGCCUAUCAGAGGGGGAUAACGAUCGGAAACGAUCGCUAAUACCGCAUGACAUAGCGGAACCGCAUGGUUUUGUUAUCAAAGAUUUUAUCGCUGAUAGAUGGGCUCGCGUCCGAUUAGAUAGUUGGUGGGGUAACGGCCUACCAAGUCGACGAUCGGUAGCCGGACUGAGAGGUCGAACGGCCACGUUGGGACUGAGACACGGCCCAGACUCCUACGGGAGGCAGCAGUGGGGAUAUUGCACAAUGGGGGAAACCCUGAUGCAGCGACGCCGCGUGAGGGAAGACGGUCCUCUGGAUUGUAAACCUCUGUCUUCGGGGACGAAACGAGACGGUACCCGAGGAGGAAGCCACGGCUAACUACGUGCCAGCAGCCGCGGUAAUACGUAGGUGGCAAGCGUUGUCCGGAAUUACUGGGUGUAAAGGGAGCGUAGGCGGGCAGGCAAGUCAGGCGUGAAAUAUAUCGGCUCAACCGGUAACGGCGCUUGAAACUGCAGGUCUUGAGUGAAGUAGAGGUUGGCGGAAUUCCUAGUGUAGCGGUGAAAUGCGUAGAUAUUAGGAGGAACACCAGUGGCGAAGGCGGCCAACUGGGCUUU
rnacentral:rRNA from 1 species